rnacentral:rRNA from 1 species
UACAGAGGUCCCGAGCGUUGUUCGGAUUCACUGGGCGUAAAGGGUGCGUAGGUGGCCUGAAAAGUUUGAUGUGAAAGCUCAGGGCUUAACCCUGAAAUGGCAUUGAAUACUGUCGGGCUGGAGGUUUGGAGGGGGGACUGGAAUUCUUGGUGUAGCGGUGAAAUGCGCAGAUAUCAGGAGGAACACCGGUGGCGAAGGCGGGUCUCUGGGCCGAUACUGACGCUGAGGAGCGAAAGCGUGGGGAGCGAACAGG